rnacentral:rRNA from 1 species
UGCGAUAAGCGCCGGUAAGGUGAUAUGAACCGUUAUAACCGGCGAUUUCCGAAUGGGGAAACCCAGUGUGACUCGUCACACUAUCAUUAACUGAAUCCAUAGGUUAAUGAGGCGAACCGGGGGAACUGAAACAUCUAAGUACCCCGAGGAAAAGAAAUCAACCGAGAUUCCCCCAGUAGCGGCGAGCGAACGGGGAGGAGCCCAGAGCCUGAAUCAGCAUGUGUGUUAGUGGAAGCGUCUGGAAAGGCGCGCGAUACAGGGUGACAGCCCCGUACACAAAAGCGCAUGUGCUGUGAGCUCGAUGAGUAGGGCGGGACACGUGGUAUCCUGUCUGAAUAUGGGGGGACCAUCCUCCAAGGCUAAAUACUCCUGACUGACCGAUAGUGAACCAGUACCGUGAGGGAAAGGCGAAAAGAACCCCGGCGAGGGGAGUGAAAAAGAACCUGAAACCGUGUACGUACAAGCAGUGGGAGCACCCUUUAUGGGUGUGACUGCGUACCUUUUGUAUAAUGGGUCAGCGACUUAUAUUCUGUAGCAAGGUUAACCGCAUAGGGGAGCCGGAGGGAAACCGAGUCUUAAUU